rnacentral:rRNA from 1 species
GAUGAACGCUGGCGGCGUGCCUAAUACAUGCAAGUCGAGCGAACAGACGCGGCUCUUGCUCCUCUGUCGUUAGCGGCGGACGGGUGAGUAACACGUGUAUAACCUACCUAUCAGACUGGGAUCACUUCGGGACACCGGCGCUAAUACCGUAUAAUAUCUUGCACCGCAUGGUUCAAUAGUGAAAUACGGUUUUGCUGUCUCUUAUAGCUGGUUCCGCGCGGCAUUAGCUAGUUGGUAAGGUAACGGCUUACCAAGGCGACGAUGCGUAGCCGACCUGAGAGGGGGAUAGGCCACACUGGAAGUGAGACACGGUCCAGAGGCCUAAGGGAGGCAGCAGUAGGGAAUGUGAGGCAAUGGGCGAAAGCAUGACGGAGCAACGCCGAGUGAGAGAUGAAGGUCUUCGGAUCGGAAAACUCUGUUAUGAGGGAAGAACAAAUGUGGAAGGAACUAUGCACGUCGUGACGGUACCGAAUCAGAAAGCAACGGCUAACUACGUG